GGAAAGUACAGCACAGGGACACAAGGGACGCCUAAGUGACAGAACAUCUGCCAUAUCUGCAACGCCUGGGACUUAAAACAAAGACUACAGUAGAAGCCGGGUCUCCCAACCUGUCUAUGAGGUUCCUGGCCUGCUUGAGUUCCUGCCCUCACUGCCUUUGAAGAGGAACUGUGAUGUGGAACUGCUGUCCUUGAACUCAAGAGAUCUGUCUUCGUCUGCCUUCCAAGUGCAGAAACUAAAGAUGACUCAGCAGGUAGAAGCUGCCAAGCCUGAUGACCUGGCUCAAUUCCUGGGACCCACAGGGUGGAAGAAGAGGUUGUCCUCUGACCUCCACAUGCAUGCCGUAGCACACAUGUAUUGCCAGCCCCAGAAAAAAAUAAAUGCAAUUUUAAAAAAUA
rnacentral:lncRNA from 1 species